UCGUCACACUAUCAUUAACUGAAUCCAUAGGUUAAUGAGGCGAACCGGGGGAACUGAAACAUCUAAGUACCCCGAGGAAAAGAAAUCAACCGAGAUUCCCCCAGUAGCGGCGAGCGAACGGGGAGGAGCCCAGAGCCUGAAUCAGCAUGUGUGUUAGUGGAAGCGUCUGGAAAGGCGCGCGAUACAGGGUGACAGCCCCGUACACAAAAGCGCAUGUGCUGUGAGCUCGAUGAGUAGGGCGGGACACGUGGUAUCCUGUCUGAAUAUGGGGGGACCAUCCUCCAAGGCUAAAUACUCCUGACUGACCGAUAGUGAACCAGUACCGUGAGGGAAAGGCGAAAAGAACCCCGGCGAGGGGAGUGAAAAAGAACCUGAAACCGUGUACGUACAAGCAGUGGGAGCCCCACCACCAAAGCAUUUGCUGUACCGCGUUGACGGAGCGAAGCGACGUCAAACCGAUAAAACAGCAGUGUAAAGUGAGCCGCAGGGCGCUUUGCGCGACAGCGCAAAGGCAGGCGGUUUCGCGUAGCGAAAGCGAAUGCUUUGGGGUGGGGUGACUGCGUACCUUUUGUAUAAUGGGUCAGCGACUUAUAUUCUGUAGCAAGGUUAACCGAAUAGGGGAGCCGGAGGGAAA
rnacentral:rRNA from 1 species